rnacentral:rRNA from 1 species
AGUGAACGCUGGCGGCAGGCCUAACACAUGCAAGUCGAGCGGCAGCGGGUCCCCGCGAGGGGAUGCCGGCGAGCGGCGGACGGGUGAGGAACACAUCGGAAUCUGCCUGGUUGUGGGGGAUAACGUAGGGAAACUUACGCUAAUACCGCAUGCGACCCUGAGUCGACGGACUUGGGGUGAAAGUGAGGGACCUUCGGGCCUCACGCGACCAGAUGAGCCGAUGUCGGAUUAGCUAGUUGGCGGGGUAACGGCCCGCCAAGGCGACGAUCCGUAGCUGGUCUGAGAGGAUGAUCAGCCACACUGGGACUGAGACACGGCCCAGACUCCUACGGGAGGCAGCAGUGGGGAAUCUUGGAC